rnacentral:rRNA from 1 species
GAUGAACGCUGGCGGCGUGCCUAAUACAUGCAAGUCGAGCGAACAGACGAGGAGCUUGCUCCUCUGACGUUAGCGGCGGACGGGUGAGUAACACGUGGAUAACCUACCUAUAAGACUGGGAUAACUUCGGGAAACCGGAGCUAAUACCGGAUAAUAUAUUUAACCGCAUGGUUCAAUAGUGAAAGACGGUUUUGCUGUCACUUAUAGAUGGAUCCGCGCCGCAUUAGCUAGUUGGUAAGGUAACGGCUUACCAAGGCAACGAUCCGUAGCCGACCUGAGAGGGUGAUCGGCAACACUGGAACUGAGACACGGUCAAGACUCCUACGGGAGGCAGAAGUAGGGAAUCUUCCGAAAUGGGCGAAAGCUUGACGGAGCAACGCCGCGUGAGUGAUGAAGGUCUUCGGAUCGUAAAACUCUGUUAUUAGGGAAGAACAAAUGUGUAAGUAACUAUGCACGUCUUGACGGUACCUAAUCAGAAAGCCACGGCUAACUACGUG